CUACGGGGCGCACCAGUAAGGAAUAUUGCGCAAUGGAGGCAACUCUGACGCAGCCAUGCCGCGUGCAGGAAGAAGGCCUUAUGGGUCGUAAACUGCUUUUAUUUAGGAAUAACCCCCUGCUCGUGAGCAGGGCUGAAGGUACUAAAAGAAUAAGCACCGGCUAACUCCGUGCCAGCAGCCGCGGUAAUACGGAGGGUGCAAGCGUUAUCCGGAUUUAUUGGGUCUAAAGGGUGCGCAGGCGGGCUAUUAAGUCAGUGGUGAAAUCCCGGGGCUCAACUCCGGAACUGCCAUUGAUACUGAUAGUCUUGAGUUUGGUUGAAGUGGGCGGAAUGUAGCAUGUAGCGGUGAAAUGCAUAGAUAUGCUACAGAACACCAAUCGCGAAGGCAGCUCACUAAGCCAAAACUGACGCUCAUGCACGAAAGCGUGGGGAGCAAACAGGAUUAGAUACCCUAGUAGUC
rnacentral:rRNA from 1 species